CCCUUAGACACUCUAGGCGGCACGCGCGCUACAAUGGGUGGAAGAACGUGUUACUGCCUCCGAAAGGAGGGGUGAAUCACGAAUUCUUGCCCGUGAAUGGGAUAGUUUGUUGCAAUUUUCGGACUUGAACUAGGAAUCCCUUGUAAACAUGCUCAAGAAUAGCGUGUUGAAUACGUCCCUGCCGUUUGUACACACCGCCCGUCGUUUCUUCCGACUGAUACUCAUUGUGAGUUGCAAGGACCCUUUAUUGGGAAAUUGCUGCAAAUGCUUUGUAUUAGAGGAAGUAAAAGUCGUAACA
rnacentral:rRNA from 1 species